rnacentral:tRNA from 1 species
GCCCGGGUGGCGAAAUGGCAGACGCAGAGGGCUUAAACCCCUUGGCCUCCAACGAGGCGUGCGGGUUCGAGUCCCGCCCCGGGCACCA